GCCACUUGUCAUCCGAUUGUUCAGUGUGAUUGAGAGGUGGGUGAGAGGAUGGCCCGUAGUGAGGAUUAGCUCAUCUAUGAGUCCACUAUCCAUAGGGGAACUACUCAAUCAGUCAACCAGUCAAAUCCUCCCCAACACACUCAGCAUGACCACAUAGCAUUAGCUCAGUAAGAGCAGAGAAUCAGUGUGCUGUGGCUGCCAACCCCUAUGUUUCCAUUUAGCCAUAAUAGCUAAUGGUCUCCAUACUGAACAACAUAGUUCUAUUUCAUUACAUGAAAAGUAUUUCUCUGAGGGAGAGAUGGAAGAAUGGACGUCUUGCACUUUGAAUUUGAUCUCUCAUUACCUCAGAAACCUCUUGACAGGACUCCCGGAGGCUUUUUACUCCAUUGGCAAACGUUAGCGAAGGUUGCUAAAUGUUAGCGUAGCCCUUGGGUCGUUCUAAUACUUGCUCACAUUCAGAGACUGAACUAUUAACCUAUUCCCUGUGACUUACGGCGAGGGGGAUGUCUGUAAGUGACAUGGCUAUUGGGCAAUAUAAUCACCUUGAGGGAUUCUGUUUUAUCGAAAGCCAUCCACUAGCUGCUAGUAGUGAAUCAAGGAGAUAUGAACAUUAGGGUUGGAGUUAGAUCAUCCCAGAGUCGUCUUAAUAAGUUGAAAGGUCUUGAUUACACACAGAUGAGAAGCGGUUUAUAAUAACUGAUAUAUCCUGUCUGACCAUUAUAUCUCUCCUCUUCCUCCAGGGACCAGCGGGACUCAAGGGAGAUAAGGGUGACCAAGGAGAUAUUGGUCCCAGGGGCCCUCCUCCCCACAACUCAUACGCUGGUCUGCACAGUAAUCAGAUCCUCACCGUCAAGGUUUGUCCCUCCGUAGCUCUGGUCUCCCAGCAGUCCUCUGUCUCUCAUGCUCUGCUGACCUUCCUGUCUCUCUCCACUGGACUAC
rnacentral:lncRNA from 1 species